AAAAAUUAGAGAACGAAUUUCAAAAAGUGAUUGCACAAAAAGAGGGGGUACAAAUUGUUGUGAGCGAUGUUAAUGAAACUGAUGAUGUAAAAUCUCAAGUACCUAAAUUUAUGAUACCUUCACCGUUUGAUGCGGGGGUUACCCGGCGGGUAAAACACGCUUAUUCAACUUUGGACGCAGUUAGUGUUCGAACUGGGGUAUUUUUGAGGCGAUAUCCAUUGGCUAGAGUUUUUGUUUUCUCUUAUAUGGUAAUAAAUAAUUGUUAUUAAUUUGUUUGGAGGACU